UGGAGAUAGGCCACCGCCAUCGCCUCUCCGUGGCAUACCGUCACCGUCGGUCGGGACUCCAUCGGGAGAGGAAGACCAUCGUCCUCUACAGGCAAACUAGCCACCCAUACUCACUCAACCCCCUUUCACUUUUCCACUCAUCUUUCAUCUUUCACCGUACACGAUACUUCGUUUGUCAACCUCACAUCUGCUUUCCAGAGCAUUAUGCACAAGAGACGACGAAUCCUGACCAGGAAGCCACUUUCCACGCUUGACAGUGAUCACGAAAAUUUCGUGAAUUCCUGUGAUGACACAGCAACAUGCUCCAAUGACCCACCUUCCUCUGAAGAGCCUUCCACCACAGUUGUUCGAGCAUCCCUCUAAGGGGAUUCAUGCAAACCUUUCAUGUAAAAACAACAUAACAUCAAAAACAAAAUAAAGUUUCAGGGACCAUCCCACGGCUGCAACA